rnacentral:rRNA from 1 species
UACGGGGGGGGCAAGCGUUGUUCGGAAUUACUGGGCGUAAAGGGCUCGUAGGCGGCCAACUAAGUCAGACGUGAAAUCCCUCGGCUUAACCGGGGAACUGCGUCUGAUACUGGAUGGCUUGAGUGUGGGAGAGGGAUGCGGAAUUCCAGGUGUAGCGGUGAAAUGCGUAGAUAUCGGGAGGAACACCGGUGGCGAAGGCGGUUCUCUGGGCCUUACCUGACGCUGAGGAGCGAAAGCGUGGGGAGCGAACAGG